rnacentral:rRNA from 1 species
UAGUCUGGUGCCAGCAGCCGCGGUAAUUCCAGCUCCAAUAGCGUAUAUUAAAGUUGUUGCAGUUAAAACGCUCGUAGUCGGAUUUCGGGGCAGGUUUGCCGGUCUGCCGAUGGGUAUGCACUGGUAGAACUGUCCUUCCUUCCGGAGACGGCGCCUACUCUUAACUGAGCGGGUGUCGGAGACGGAUCGUUUACUUUGAAAAAAUCAGAGUGUUUCAAGCAGGCAGCUCGCUUUUGCAUGGAUUAGCAUGGGAUAAUGAAAUAGGACUUUGGUGCUAUUUUGUUGGUUUCGAACACCGAAGUAAUGAUUAACAGGGACAGUCAGGGGCACUCGUAUUCCGCCGAGAGAGGUGAAAUUCUUAGACCAGCGGAAGACGAACCACUGCGAAAGCAUUUGCCAGGGAUGUUUUCACUGAUCAAGAACGAAAGUUAGGGGAUCGAAGACGAUCAGAUACCGUCGUAGUCUUAACCAUAAACCAUGCCGACUAGGGAUUGGAGGAUGUUCCUAUGUGACUCCUUCAGCACCUUUCGGGAAACUAAAGUCUUUGGGUUCCGGGGGGAGUAUGGUCGCAAGGCUGAAACUUAAAGGAAUUGACGGAAGGGCACCACCAGGAGUGGAGCCUGCGGCUUAAUUUGACUCAACACGGGGAAACUUACCAGGUCCAGACAUUGUGAGGAUUGACAGAUUGAGAGCUCUUUCUUGAUUCUAUGGGUGGUGGUGCAUGGCCGUUCUU